UCAUCACUUGUACUUUUAUGUCUGUUUUUAAUGGUGACUAACACAGGCUAACACUAGGCUAUGUAUGGCAAAGAUCUUACAUCUGUUGAAUGAGAAUGAACCUUCAGGAGAACAAAGUUUUGGUCAGUUGGAUUAUUGUCUUUCAUGAGGAUCCAAAUCAACCACUCGCCCCACCCAUGGCUUCCUCCUCCCAGGGCCGGAUGUGACAAUGUGCGGUCGCUCUAUAAGCGGAUGCUUGAGCUCGACUGCCA